rnacentral:rRNA from 1 species
AUACGGAGGGUGCAAGCGUUACUCGGAAUCACUGGGCGUAAAGCGCGCGCAGGCGGCUUGAUAAGUUGGAUGUGAAAGCCUACGGCUCAACCGUAGAACUGCAUCCAAAACUGUCAGGCUAGAGUGUGGGAGAGGAAGAUGGAAUUAGUUGUGUAGGGGUAAAAUCCGUAGAGAUAACUAGGAAUACCAAAAGCGAAGGCAAUCUUCUGGAACACUACUGACGCUGAGGCGCGAAAGCGUGGGGAGCAAACAGGAUUAGAAACCCUAGUAGUCC